UGGGGGAUAUUGCACAAUGGGCGAAAGCCUGAUGCAGCGACGCCGCGUGGGGGAUGAAGGCUUUCGGUUUGUAAACCUCUUUCGCUAUCGAACAAGGCCCGCUUAGGGUGGGUUGAGGGUAGGUGGAGAAGAAGCGCCGGCUAACUACGUGCCAGCAGCCGCGGUAAUACGUAGGGCGCGAGCGUUGUCCGGAAUUAUUUGGCGUAAAGGGCUUGUAGGCGGCUUGGUGCGCCUGCUGUGAAAACGCGGGGCUUAACUUCGCGCGUGCAGUGGGUACGGGCAGGCUUGAGUGUUGUAGGAGUGACUGGAAUUCCAGGUGUAGCGGUGGAAUGCGCAGAUAUCUGGAGGAACACCGAUGGCGAAGGCAGGUCACUGGGCCAUUACUGACGCUGAGGAGCGAAAGCAUGGGUAGCGAACAGG
rnacentral:rRNA from 1 species